GGGAGAGGACAUUUCAGACGUAUAAUAAUAAUACUCCUUAAACCACAGGUGGCAUACUCACUUUCUUCAAGUCAGAAGUUGCCAAGGGCACUUUAUUUCUAGACCAUUCUUUUUAAAAAUCAAAUCAUCAGGAAUUGUGCUUCUGGGAAAUGCUGUUCCAAACACCUAUUAAAUAUGCAGCCAUACCGUUUGUUUUGCAUUUUUCUUAAGGGUAACAAUUAACCUUUAAAAAGUCUGACCUUUCCAAAGAGGUAGACCUGUUAUGGGGAGCUCUGAGGUGCUGGGUCAAUGUUUCAGAGAAUUGUUUGCUUCAUGAGCAUUGUAGACUUAGGGCUGCAGUGGUUUUCUUAUUCUGUAAUGCUGUGGCUCUGAAACGGUUCACUAGCAUGAUAUGUUUAAUUUGUGAAAUGAAGCCGUCAAUUGGAGUCACAGGGCUCAGUCCCCGGCACCCCGAGACAGGGGAAGGAAGCACAGCCAGCAGAACAGGCACUCACAUCUCACACACUCGGCAGGGAACACAUGCCCCACAGCAGAGCCUGACUUGAGAUUAUCCCUCAGCUUAUUCCUAACCACUAACCAGACGCUCAGCCCCAGCCCAGAUCCGCUGGAAACCAGCCUGGUCACCUCUUUUCCUACCACCAGGGGAAUCGGCCAGUCCUUGCAAUUCACCACCAAAGUGAUCUUUCUACUUGGAAAUAUUACCACGCCAUGACCCUGAUUAAACCUCCAGCAUCCCCGUGUUUAUCCAGGACACAGUCAGGACCCUGUGAUCUGGCCUCUACUCACUUCUUCAGCUUUAUCUGCCAUUCCUUAUUCUGCCCCCUCCCUUGUACACACAAACACAUGAAAAGUACACAGGCACACU
rnacentral:lncRNA from 1 species